rnacentral:rRNA from 1 species
CGCUGGCGGCAGGCCUAACACAUGCAAGUCGAGCGCAGUCCUUCGGGACCGAGCGGCGGACGGGUUAGUAACGCGUGGGAACAUACCCUUUUCUACGGAAUAGCCUCGGGAAACUGAGAGUAAUACCGUAUAAGCCCUUCGGGGGAAAGAUUUAUCGGGAAAGGAUUGGCCCGCGUUAGAUUAGAUAGUUGGUGGGGUAAUGGCCUACCAAGUCUACGAUCUAUAGCUGGUUUUAGAGGAUGAUCAGCAACACUGGGACUGAGACACGGCCCAGACUCCUACGGGAGGCAGCAGUGGGGAAUCUUAGACAAUGGGCGCAAGCCUGAUCUAGCCAUGCCGCGUGUGUGAUGAAGGUCUUAGGAUCGUAAAGCACUUUCGCCAGGGAUGAUAAUGACAGUACCUGGUAAAGAAACCCCGGCUAACUCCGUGCCAGCAGCCGCGGUAAUACGGAGGGGGUUAGCGUUGUUCGGAAUUACUGGGCGUAAAGCGUACGUAGGCGGAUCAGAAAGUAGGGGGUGAAAUCCCAGGGCUCAACCCUGGAACUGCCUCCUAAACUCCUGGUCUUGAGUUCGAGAGAGGUGAGUGGAAUUCCAAGUGUAGAGGUGAAAUUCGUAGAUAUUUGGAGGAACACCAGUGGCGAAGGCGGCUCACUGGCUCGAUACUGACGCUGAGGUACGAAAGUGUGGGGAGCAAACAGGAUUAGAUACCCUGGUAGUCCACACCGUAAACGAUGAAUGCCAGUCGUCGGGCAGUAUACUGUUCGGUGACACACCUAACGGAUUAAGCAUC